UAUGGUUUUGUACAGCUUGGUCAAGAAGGCCAGAGAUAUCACCACCUCUUUGGAUCAUCUGACCCAGUACUGAACUAUCUUUCUACCAAGUUUUUCCAAAUGCCCAACUUGAUUGCUCUGACCAUCAAAUUCUGUCUGUUUCCCUUGGUCAUAUUAUGCAUCUCAUAAUACUAAAAGGAAUGUGGUCAUGAUCUCUGCAAUUAACCUCCAAGUAGGCUGUCCUUACAGUGUCCCUUACCCUUCUCUUUGCCAGCCUCAGUUGCUGCUAACAAGAAUAGAAGAACUGGUGGCAGUGCUGGCAAUUCAGGGCAGCCCUGCCUGCAACAGCCAUGAGAUGCUGGAGGUCAGGGUGCAGAGGAAGGCUGGAGGGUGAGGAGCAGAGCUGGGACCAGGCUUUGGGUGAGAAAAUGGAGGCUUAUUCAGGGAUCACCAGGCAUGAUUCCCUGGGGAGAUGCUGUGAAGGACAAGCCCAGGACAGCAGUCUGGUUUCUAAAGGAAAUGGUAACAGAUCCCACUUCAGCACCCCAAGUGUUCUUCCGCUGUGCUCUCCACCCUGUGUGGUACUGAGCUAGAGGCUCACUUCCAGUUUCAUACUGUGAAGUGAAGUGAAAGAGCUCCUUAGCACACAGUCUGACUGCUUCUCCUGUUCUUCCCUGCCCUGGUCAGCUUGUGCUCAUCCAGAACUAUGCUUCAGUUGCAGGUGCAGCAUCGUACCAUGUCGCCACCAUCCCAGUCUUGUUGUAGCCCUGCCACUCUGCCUGGACUUGUGAGUCCUUCUAUUGUCCAGGCUUUGCAAAAGAGCUCUGUACAAGCAGCAGAAGAAAGCCUCUGAAUGAACUUCCCUUCUGAGCAGGAAUGCAAAAGUCCAUCUGGGGGCCUUCUCCCUUGCAUAUCUCUUCUGUUUGCAGCUUCUCUUUCAUCUCUGGGCUUCAGCCCCUGCUUCCAGAUGAACGCAGUUUAAAGAUCGCAGCAGUUCAACAAACACGGCCAUGAAGUUCUCUCUCUCUCUUGGUCCAAUGUGUCCCCUCCCUUCUCAGCAGUCCUUGCUCAUAGUCGGAGAAGACAACAUGGUGAAAGAAGCUGAAUCCUUGCUAGCAAUUGCGGCUGUGCAGUCAGACACUGGUCUGUCAGUUGUGCCUGCUCCUUGCAGGGCCUCCCCCUGUGACUGUGAGUAUUACCAAGAACAAGACUUGGGCUCCCCAUCCCAUUACCCUUCCUCCUGAGGAGGACUUGUCACCUUUAAUCUGCUCAGGGAUUUCUGUGUCUGUGUGACUGGUAUCCCUGUGGAUGUGCAACAAAGAGCAGCAGUCACUCAUCUGCCUGGGCCUUGGCAAUCUCUCUACACUAUCAUGGAUCUGAGCUCCAGGCAAAGCUGCUCCAGCACCAAAUCUUCUGGAAUGACAGGUCUGGCUGGCAAAGAAGUGCUGCUUCUUCCUACAGAAGGUGGUCACUGGUCACUAACACUUGAAAAAUUAUUCUGAUAGUGUCUGCCCUAAUUUGAAAAUAGAGGUGUCCAGCCCUGAACCUCCCCCCAUCAGGACUUGUUCCUCUUCUCUUGCAAGUAGACGUGGGAAUAAAGCCUUCCUCCUGGUGACUGAAGUAAUGAGUUUCCAGCUUCUCUUGUCUUGAGAGUUUGUGUCCUUUCUCACUUUGGUCAUGUCAACUUUUUUUGUUCUCUGUUUUCUAGGAAGCAGGAAGCUGGACAUAUGUUUGCUCUGCCUGUCUGCAGGGUCCCUUGCUUGGCAGGGCAACCCUUGUGCUACGUCUGUCUUCCCGGCUCAGUUCACUUGUAAAUAUCAGAAUCACCUCAUGCUGCUCCUCCCAUGUUGUUGACUAGGAAAAAGGAGAACUUUACACUUCCUCCAACUCUCCGUGAAAUCUCUGUGCAUUUCCUUCUGUGCAGACUAAAGGAAAUAAAUACCCAUUCCAUGCUUGAUCUGUUCCCUUCCUCCCAUGCAGGUAGAUUGCAAGAAUUAGAGAAGGAGAGGACUUGAGAAACACUCCGCUGGAACACUAGUAGACAUAGGGAGUCGUGUAAGCGCAACCUGGACUAUGAAUGAAGAAAUUGGGUGUCAGCGCUGAUUCUGAAAGUUCCAGAGCCUGAAAUGACUCACAAAAACAUGGGAUAAGGAGAGAGGAGCAGGGGCAGUGUGGUUGACCUGUGAUUGGUAUUUGUUGAUACUCCAAACAAUGCAUACAGUAGGGACUUGAAUGACUGUUUAAAAAAUAAGCUGCUGCCCUUGGAAGUAACUAAAAAGCUGGUACUGUGGGAUUUGAUGUUUACUGUCUACCUUCAGAGGAAAAUGGAACCACAAGUGACAGGGAAAUACCAUGAUGCAAUGCCAGCUUCUUACAAGAUGGAUUGGAUUGCCAGAUUGACAGUGCAUUAGGAAAAAAAUUCAAUCAAACCUGUCAGAUGCAUAGAAGAGAUGUAAUUUCUAGGUCUCAGCCGUUUUCUGACUCAGACACUUACUGUGCACUUUCCCACAUGCAGGCAUGACCUGGGACAUGACUACAUGAAGCUGUUGUUCUUGGCUUGUAGUUCCUAGCUAUUAACUGCGGGAUCUUCUGUAUGCUUGAAGAUGUAUGCACUCCAGCCUGAAGUUCCAGUCCCAGUGAGGACAAGGGUAGUGAAUAAUGCAACUAGUAGGCAGUCUCUUUAAAGUCUUGUUUUUCAGAGCAAAAUCACUACUGGUAAAAAAUACCUUUUGAAAGCCAAAAAAAAUCAUGGCCAUUUUUAAGGUGCCCAUCUGCCCCUUGUGUGAGGGACCUUGGAAGAACCACUUCCUUCUGGGUGUUCCCACAAAGCCUCCCCUUGUCAUCUUGACUCCUUGCAACAGCUUUUGAUCUGUCCUGGGCAUUCCUCAGUGACUCACCGCCAUUUAAUCAGGAUUAAGAUGUUUUUAAUUGUUUAUAAUCCUUUUGACCUUCUGUCUCAGCUAAGAACCUGGAAGCGUGGGGUCGCACUUCAAGCAGAAGCUGUGGUGGCUUAGGGCAAAACAAGGUUUGUAAGCAGAGGUAAUAUUUUUUUAUUGCACCAAUUGCUGUGGUUGGAGGAAAUAGAUAGCUUUCAGGAGUGCAAGACCUUGUGGAGGUCUGAAAUGAAAGCUGCAAACUUCAAAGAUAAAUGUAGGUAGAGAGCAAUUACUCUGAACUUAAUUUCUUUAUGUUAGCAAGUUAGAUUACCAAAAAGAAAAGGCAGCUGGUAUCUUCGAAACAGAGACAGUGUGCUAGCAGAGGGAGAGGUGCUAAAUUGUUAGCUCAAAAAAUAAUUAAUAAAUCACAAUAAAUAAAAUAACAAUAAAUAAAAUAACAAUGUAACAAUAAAAAUAUAAAUAAAUAAAUAAUAAAUAACAAUAAUAAAUUGUUAGCUCUACUUUCUGAGGUUAUUCCAGGUGCAUAGUAGCCUCCUAGAGGGUGGAACCAUCAGUAACCAUUUGAUUAAGAAUCACCACUCCAAGUAUGCUGUAGGAGUUGUGUAUUAGAGUUCUAGAAAAACCUGGAAAAUAAUUUCCUUUAUCUAACCACUCCAACAUGAUGAACGAAAAUGGGAAGAAGACUAAAAUGAAGUGCCUCUGAAGUUUUCCCAACUGUUUUGCAAGACUCUAAAAUGCUGUAAAAAUAACCAUGACAGGCGCUGAACACAAGAACCGACUAACACAACAACAGCUGCCUCAGCCUCUACCUGACAAAAGAGGCAUUCAAACACCUUCAGUCGAAGAAAAAUCUGCUAACCUAAUGUGAACUGUCUGCUCCAAAAGCCCAAAUGUCUCCCUGGAGGAACAAUCAGAUGACAUAUUUGUACGCAGGGAAUUAGAAUGACUUUGCUGACUCUUUUCUUUAUACUUCUCCCUUAACGAGCCUGAAGUUAAUUCCAGUUCCACUCUUUCUAUGGUAGCUUCAGGAAGAAGACAAGGAAACAUGUUGGAUUUGAAGUCCUAAGACAAAAGCCCUCUUGGACCACUAUAUUGACUACUUCAGGAAAAGAGCCAGAAGAGAAACAACAAACCAGUUGUUAUUCAGUUUUUUCCUGUCUCACAAAGAAAUUCUAUCCUAAAUCACAAGUAGUACAAACAUGCAACUAGUGACAGUAUGACUAAGGAAGUUAAGGAAGACUCUGUGCAGAAAACAUGUAUUCUCCACUAUGAACCACUUAUUGACCAUAGCUACCUCCCCACUAUAUUACCGUCAUGUCCACUGGGAAUGUCCUCAGCCUGUCCACUGUGUCCAACCUCCUGUGCUCCAGCUCAAACAAAUCAAAAAGUCAUCUAGCUCAUCCUCACCCUGUGCAGCUUCAUUUAAGUCAAUGUUCUUCAGACAAUGGGUAUAGCAUAAGCAUAAACAUAAGUAUAUGAUAUUUUGACUUUAUCAUGAACUACCUCAAAAAAAAUAGGGAAAUGCAAAGAAAAAUAGAAUUUUAUUCCAAGUUUUUAUAUCACUAAGCCUGUGCUCUAUCUUAUAUGAUUAAGUGAAAGCUUUAUCACUUACAGUGAAAUAUGAAUCUCCUAAUUGAUUUUUAUCAAAUUCAAUAGCAGGUGUCCCUCCAUCAAACUCUCUUGAACAUCACUGCACUGAAAUCACCUUAGAUAACCUGAUCAGUAUUAAACUGCAGUUUACCAAUUGUGAAAGAUAAAUAUGCUUGUCUGAAGAAAAUCAGCCACCAUUCAAAAGAUCAGGGUUUUUGAGACCUAUUUGUUCUGAAGAGAUCACUCAUGGAGAUCACUUUAAUUCCUAGAUAUCUUUAGUGCAUAGGUGUCCUCUCCUGGGCAGCUGGAUGGCACCUGUGAAUUAAAAGGACCAAAAAUACUGUCAAGCACUAUGUUACUAGCCUAAUAUGGGACCUAUAAAAACAAUCAUUGACAACAUACGGUAUCCUAAACCGAAAGAAAUUUUGUCAGAACCAGAAGUCCUACCUUUCAGAUAGCUCCAGCCCCAGAAACAAAUACUCAGGGCUAGUGUGUAUCAAAAAGACUGAAACUGCAUCUAAGCAGGAAACAUUGAAUUUGUAAUAUCUUCUCACAAAAACAAUCAUCCUUGGAGUCUUUACAUGACAUUUCUGCAGCCCAUUCACUGGGCCACAUGCCCUCCUGGACACAAAAGCUAAGACUAAACAACUGUGAUGCAUCAGAAUGAGCUCACUGUCCUGGUUUUGUUAAAAACCAAGUUUCUCUUUUAGUGAAUUUUGCCUGUCAGCUAAAAGUUCAUAUUAGCUGCAUUUUCCUGGAGAACCAGAUACAUGUUUUGGUAAACAUAGCAAUGGAAUGCAAAGUUAUUGAUAAGCAUGGGUGGACAUCUCGCGAGAGGGGCAACGAGAAACAGGUGACCAAGAAACUGACCAACUGUGUAUAACAUUCCAUUCACGUGAAUACUUCAUAUAAAAGUGGGACAUCAUGAGGAUCUCGUCCCUUCUUUUCCCUUCUGUUUAUGGCUGACAUUAGGAGAGGACCUUGCUAGUCAUCCCUGCGAACUGAGGCCUAGUGACAGCCUGAAUCCAGCUCCAGAGUCCAACCCAGGACUUCGUGUGCCGGCUCUGCAGUUGCUGAGACUUUCAAGAUUGGUUUUGUAUAUUUUGUAUUAUUUUCUUUAUUUUUAUUAGUAGCAUUAGUAAGACAUUUUAAAUUUUUCCAACUCUCUUCUCUCUGUCCUUCUUUCCCUCCCGAUUGUCUGUGCUUAGUGGGAAGCAGGGAGAGGGAUGGGCAAAAGGGGGAAGCGGGGGAGAGGAGGUUAACAAUACAUCUGCCAGGGUUUUAUUGUCACCCCGCAACCAAGGCCAUCGACACUCACACAGUCAGUGAUGGACAGAAACAUCUUCAGUGGGAGAGAAUUCUUUCAAUGCAGCUGCACCAUCUCUGAGAUUUUUGAUGUUAUUCACACAGAGACACAAUGAGACACCUGCAAAACAGGAGUAAAAUACUAGAAAAUAUCUCUCUUACAAAUACUAAGAUAUUAAAACCUCUUUUGAGAUGUGUUCUCAUUUAACACCCUCCACCCCAAACUAACCUCUCUAUCCUUGAAGAAGGAUAAAUAUAUUUCUCACUUUUUUUUUUUUUCAGACUAUUUGACAAGCUUAUUGUCUCCACAGGUACUUACUAUUUUUUGUUUGUUUGAUUGUUUGUUUCAGACAGCCUGAUAGGUUAAUUUCAGCUUUUGCAGCUGCUGUUUCUAUUUCAGACCUGAAGAGGGGCUUGCGUGUCCAAUCACUUGUCUGUUUUUUCCAGCUUUAACAAACUGGUCUAAUGAAACAUUUCCCUUCUCCCACAAACUUUGCUUUACUUCUGCUCUUAGGUCAUCAUGGCUACACAACCACUUCUGCAACAUUCACCAAAAAAUGGUUCGAUCUCUGUAUUCAUGAUAUUCUUACAUUUUAGCUCCAUGUCUGUCAUGCAGAUUGAACUCCUAAACUCAAUUAUUUAUGAAAUUACUGCCAGACUUGUGGGCUUCUGCAAUCACUGCCUGUAAUAUUUGGGUUUAGCGUGCAUAGGAUCUUGAAUGUUUUGGAGCCAUCUCUUUGCUUGGGGUAGUGCUGCACCGCCCUCGGGCUGAAGUGCGGCUCUGCCAGUUGACAGUGGUACCUGGCAGCAGGUUGGGAAUCUCUGCCCUCAUAGCAGCCUGGGAAGCCAAACUCUCUUGGUGCCUUCUGGAGCCAGCAGCUGUCAGAAACAUGUUCAUUGCAGAACUAAUGAGAAAUUAAUAAGAUCUGGCAUUUAUUUAGUGCUUUCCUAGGUCACAAACACUAUGUCUGUAUUAAGUCGGUAAAACUGUUAUGAUUUCUGAAAUGGGAAAAAAAAAAAAAAGCAUAAUGCAGCCAGAAUGUAAAAAAAUAAAGAUCAUGAAAUUGCUAGCUUUUUACCCAAAUGCCUUGAUUUUCAGAAAUAAUAAUUCAUACCGCCCACUGAUUUUGCUGUUUAGAUGUGAAAGUCAGUACAAGUUGCAGGUGCUCAGCACCUCUGAAGAUCAGGCCACCCGCCUAGCUGAUUAAUUGCGGGGGGUGCUUUUGGUAGGGGCAGCAGGUUGCAUCUUGUUAAAGUUCCUGAUUUUGACAAUGUGGGCCAGUUACAUUUCAGUAACAGUUUAUGGAAUGAACUGCUUCUCAUUCCAAUGUUAAUUUGUAGGAUCACAUUACUUCUCAAAACAAGAUUUUAUUUUCCUGAAGAGUUAUGAACACAAGCUUAGUCAAAUCAAUUAACAUACUGUUCCCUGUGCACGCACAAGAGCCGAAAAUCCCUUACAUCCCAGAGGUUUUUCUAAUUACAUAAAACUAGGUUUCAGGAACCAUAAAGCCACGUGAUCCAUGUGAAACUGAGUAAGGGAGUGUGUGCAUCUCACACAUGAGUAGGGAUACCAUAUCCUCACUUAGUGCAAGCUCAUAGCUCCUGGUGACUUCUGUCCCUCUUUCUGGGGACACUGAACCUUACCCCCUUCUUCCUUGAAAUGGCUGUCUGGUAGCAACAUUAAUUUCACAUUCCAGAGAAGGAAAAUACUUCUGCAGUUCAAAAGCAAAUAGCCAAGAAAACUGGGAGACAGGUCUAUAUCUGUUAACCCUGCUGUCUGGCAGUGAGGGUUCUCUGCCAGCCAGUCUGGUCCUAGGAGCAAACAGAAUGGGACAGAGAUUUAUUCCGCAGAAGGAGUUUCCAGUUCGUCACUCUGAUUCAGGCAGUCUCUGAGUUCUGUGGUGUGGAGAGUACAAUGCAAAUUUGAUGAGGUUUGUUUAGCUUUUGAUGGAUGUGGUUUUUAUUUUGGAUUUUUAUUAUUAUUAUUUUUUUAAUUCUAGUUAAUUUGACUGUCAAGUUUUUCAAUAACAGCAAUUUAACUUCUGUUACCUGUUGUGGGUGGCUUAUGUAAUGUUAAUUUCUUACUUUCGUGCAAAGCAUCCAACUGCCAAGAUCAUAAGCAUUAUAUAAAUGAUAUAAAUUAAAUAAUUAAAUGAGAAGCUUUUCAAAGACUGAAAGGAAAUUCAGAGCUUUGUUAUACCUUAAGAAAAAGCAGAAUGACAGGAAAAAAAGCUUUUAGGAUAUUAUUUCAUUUCAAAGCAAAUUCCAUGCAAAUACUUUCUCCUUCUGGGAGCAUGCAGAUGUCCCCACCAAAGUCAUGGCCCCUUGUUGCUAGGCUACGUAUAUACAAGAAGAGAAAGACAAGACCUGCUUUAAAAAGCUGUCUGCACCCCAGGAAGAAUUAUCAUCCCUUCUGUACAUUGGGAAGUCAAAUGGUUUGUGCAGCAUCGGUAAUCAGUUCCUGAGCCAUGAGUUGACCCCUGCCUUGUGUGCUGUCACUCACAGCUUGUUCUUCCACAUGCUCUCCCUGCUUACGCACAUCUUCUUCUUCCUUUAAAGGAAACAUACAAACUGAAGUCAGACCUGAGUCCUUUUGUAUUGCAGGACUGCAAGAAGUUUCGAGAUUUUCUGAAGUUUUGGAUUUUGAGACAAAAAGUGUGCCACUCUUCAAUUGAUUUUGCUGUCACAUAAAAAGGGUGCAGAAUCAAUGGUAGUUAUGACAAUUCCAACUCUGGGGUCUCUGAGAGCUUGUAAACUGACUGUAGUUUUUUAAACACUCCUGCAGCCAAUUCUUCUGGCCACACAAAGGUAUCCAGCAUGUUUUACGGAUGGCACUGCUCCUUAACAGAUCUUUACAUGCUAGAACACAGUAGGAUUUGGAGGAAGAAACCAAAGAGUAAACAAAUCCCACUGUUUCCAGAUGGCAUGGCUUAAGACUGUGAUCUCCAUCUUGUCAAAUCUCAUUUAUUUACUUUAGUUUAAUGUUAAAGCAGAUACGUAUUUAAGAAUUCCACAUUUAUGUAAAAAAGGAAGGAAAAGUGGUGUUUGGAAGAAUUACACCACCCUAUCUUAAGCAUGUGAAAGAUCCACUAGUAGCUAUAACAAUAUAGAUAGGGUGAAUUAACUCACUACAAAUGAAGAGAUAUUUCAUGUAAAAGGACAUAUAUAGCAGAGGAAAAACAUAUCAAUAGAAGGCAGCCAGAUAUAAAACAUGAUGGAAUGUCUUGAUUGCAGUCUUUAUGGACCUCAGCUAUUAACCGUGCUCUAUAACAGUGCAAAUACCUUUCCUGCAAAACUGUAAAUCAGUCUUGUGCCAUUAGAGGAAAUAUUAUGUGGUAUUU